rnacentral:rRNA from 1 species
AUUGAACGCUGGCGGCAUGCUUUACACAUGCAAGUCGAACGGCAGCGAGAGAGAAGCUUGCUUCUCUUGUCGGCGAGUGGCGAACGGGUGAGUAAUGCCUAGGAAUCUGCCUGGUAGUGGGGGACAACGUUUCGAAAGGAACGCUAAUACCGCAUACGUCCUACGGGAGAAAGUGGGGGAUCUUCGGACCUCACGCUAUCAGAUGAGCCUAGGUACGAUUAGCUAGUUGGUGAGGUAAAGGCUCACCAAGGCGACGAUGGUUAACUGGUCUGAGAGGAUGAUCAGUCACACUGGAACUGAGACACGGUCCAGACUCCUACGGGAGGCAGCAGUGGGGAAUAUUGGACAAUGGGCGAAAGCCUGAUCCAGCCAUGCCGCGUGUGUGAAGAAGGUCUUCGGAUUGUAAAGCACUUUUGUUGGGAAAGAAAUCCAGCCGGCUAAUACCUGGUUGGGAUGACGGUACCCAAAGAAUAAGCACCGGCUAACUUCGUGCCAGCCGCCGCAGUAAAAC